rnacentral:rRNA from 1 species
AUGCUUUCCGCCAGAGAACUACAAGUGAAAAACUUAAAACUCAAAGGACUUGGCGGUGUCCCACAUCGAUCUAGAGGAGCCUGUCCUAUAAUCGAUACCCCUCGCUCAACCCAACCUUAAUUAGCCACAUUCAGCCUAUAUACCGCCGUCGACAGUCUACCCCAUGAGGGUCCAACAGUAGACACAAUAGCCCCCGCUAGAACGUCAGGUCAAGGUGUAGCAGAUAUUAAGGAAGAGAUUGGCUACAUUUUUUAACUUAAAAAACUACGAAAUGCAUCAUGAAACCCUGCAUAAAGGUGAAUUUAGCAGUAAACUAGACAAGAGAGUCUAGUUAAACUUCGCCCUGGGACGCG